rnacentral:lncRNA from 1 species
CUGUUUGGUGGUCUCUUCACACGGACGCGCAUGAAAUUUGGUGCCAUGACUCGGAUCGGGGGACCUCCCUUGGGAGAUCAAUCCCCUGUCUUCCUGUUCUUUGCUCCGUGAGAAAGAUCCACCUACAACCUCAGGUCCUCAGACCGACCAGCCCAAGGAACAUCUCACCAAUUUUAAAUCAGGUUCAAGCGAGUCUCCUGCCUCAGCCUCCUGAGUAGCUGGGACUACACGUGUGUGCCACCAUGCCUGGACAGAGUCUUGCUCUGUUGCCAGAUUGGAGUGAAGUGGCGCGAUCUCAGCUCACUGCACCCUCUGACUCCCUGAUUCAAGUGAUGCUCCUGCCUCAGACUCCCAAGUAUUUCCUAUAUCUUCCUGUCUUUUCCAUGGCCAAAAAUGAUCAAGUAAAGAACAUUAAAGAAGAAAUAAAUUACUACAUAUUAAAAAAUACAUACUGUAAGAUGUUCUUUGUACAAAAAUGUGACAACUUCAAUAAGAGUAACUUGGACAACCUGAGGCAUUAAUUGAGGAUCAAUAUGAUGACUUUACAUUGAGAAUCACAUAUACCCUCUGAAUAAAUUUAAAAAAUGAAAUUUUUUAAUUUUCAUUAAAAAUUAAAUUUUUUUGAGUGAUGAAAAUACUCAAUCACAUUAUUUUCAAAUUGUUGAUAAGCAUGGAAAUUAUCAGAGAACCAGAAUAUUCAAGGUUUAUCUUUCCUGUUUUUGUCUUAAAUCACAACUAUGUGUUAAAUAAUUUGUAUGACCUAUUUCAGUGGCAGUAGGUUAAAUAAAAUUCUGUUUGUAUCUCCUG